AAGUUACGUACGCAACGACGCAGAACCUUACCUAGACUUGACAUCCCGGGAGUUUCUUGGAAACGAGAGAAGUGCUUAGUCAAUAAAGAACCCGGUCGACAGGUGCUGCAUGGCUGUCGUCAGCUCGUGUCGUGAGAUGUUGGGUUAAGUCCCGCAACGAGCGCAACCCUCGCCUUUAGUUGCCAGCAUUCAGUUGGGCACUCUAGAGGGACUGCCGGUGUCAAACCGGAGGAAGGUGGGGAUGACGUCAAGUCCUCAUGGCCUUUAUGACCAGGGCUACACACGUACUACAAUGGCCGGUACAAAGGGCAGCGACACAGCGAUGUGAAGCGAAUCCCGAAAAGCCGGUCUCAGUCCGGAUUGGAGUCUGCAACUCGACUCCAUGAAGUUGGAAUCGCUAGUAAUCGCGGAUCAGCACGCCGCGGUGAAUACGUUCCCGGGCCUU
rnacentral:rRNA from 1 species